rnacentral:rRNA from 1 species
GACGAACGCUGGCGGCGUGCUUAACACAUGCAAGUCGAACGGAAAGGCCCUGCUUUUGUGGGGUGCUCGAGUGGCGAACGGGUGAGUAACACGUGAGUAACCUGCCCUUGACUUUGGGAUAACUUCAGGAAACUGGGGCUAAUACCGGAUAGGAGCUCCUGCUGCAUGGUGGGGGUUGGAAAGUUUCGGCGGUUGGGGAUGGACUCGCGGCUUAUCAGCUUGUUGGUGGGGUAGUGGCUUACCAAGGCUUUGACGGGUAGCCGGCAUGAGAGGGUGACCGGCCACAUUGGGACUGAGAUACGGCCCAGACUCCUACGGGAGGCAGCAGUGGGAAAUAUUGCACAAUGGGCGGAAGCCUGAUGCAGCAACGCCGCGUGCGGGAUGACGGCCUUCGGGUUGUAAACCGCUUUCGCCUGUGACGAAGCGUGAGUGACGGUAAUGGGUAAAGAAGCACCGGCUAACUACGUG